UGGGCUCGCCGCGACUGGCGCGGAUGGAUCCGACCAUCGGGAAGCGGCGAACCGGCCUCGGUCGACUCUGGGGCCUGGACCGGCCUCGACCGCCUGGGGGCCUCGG
rnacentral:ncRNA from 1 species